AAUAAACCAGUCAUAGCCGAUCGGGGGCUCUCAUCUAUGAUCACUGAACACUCCAUGUCAAGAAUCAUAUAAAAUCGCCAAACAGGUCAUAUCACCAUGAUGAGGCCAUGGAUACCGGGAAAGCAGCAGAGAGUCAAAAGACUCUGAUGCCUUGGAAGGCAAGAGAAGAGAGACUUUCAAGAAGGAUAAAGUCACCAAUUGGAGUCAAGUGACACCAAGAGAUCAUCAGCAACAGGCUAAAGAAGAGCCAGAGGAGUUCUGUUCUCCAACGCCUUACAUCACUCUGCAGACAAUUGGCAGUCAGGAGAGGGGCAGCUGCCACACUCUUCAGAUAUCUCUCUAUUUAAAGUUCAAAGAGACACUGGAUGACAACAACAAAGAGGUGAGCGUGGCCCUGACCAACCCACCCAGCAACAGGAAGAAUGGCUGAAAAAGCUGCUUUAUCAAACCUUCUGGUCCCUAUUCUUCUCUUGAUUGCCUGGAUUGUGGGCUGUAUCAUAAUGGUUUAUGUUGUCUUCUCCUAGAAAGGCAAGAAGACUUCAGACUGACAUCAUUUAGAAGAACUAAGAAAAGCAUGAACGUGACAGAUUAUUAAACGUUUCUCAUGUAAAUAACUGCAAUGUUUGACAUCACUUUGUAAGCCUUUAUAAACUUGGAUUUGUAAACUGGUA